rnacentral:rRNA from 1 species
AGCAGCCGCGGUAAUUCCAGCUCCAAUAGCGUAUAUUAAAGUUGUUGCAGUUAAAAAGCUCGUAGUUGAAUUUCGGGGUUAGUAGGCUGGUCAUGCCUCUGGUAUGUACUGGUCUCACUGAUUCCUCCUUCCUUAUGAACCGUAAUGCCAUUAAUUUGGUGUUGCGGGAAAUUUGGACUGUUACUUUGAAAAAUUAGAGUGUUUAAAGCAAGCUAACGCUUGAAUACAUUAGCAUGGAAUAAUGAAAUAGGACGUUCGAUCUUAUUUUGUUGGUUUCUAGGAUUGACGUAAUGAUUAAUAGGGAUAGUUGGGGGCAUUAGUAUUCAAUUGUCAGAGGUGAAAUUCUUGGAUUUAUUGAAGACUAACUACUGCGAAAGCAUUUGCCAAGGAUGUUUUCAUUAAUCAAGAAUGAAAGUUAGGGGAUCGAAGACGAUCAGAUACCGUCGUAGUCUUAACCAU